ensembl:rRNA 5S_rRNA 5S ribosomal RNA
GUCUAUGGCCACACCACCCUGAACACGCCCAAUUUUGGCUGAUCUUGGAAGCUAAGCAGAGUAGGGCCUGGUUAGUACUUGGAUAGGAGACUGCCUGGGAAUACUGGGUGCUGUAGGCU